rnacentral:misc_RNA from 1 species
UUUCCGUAGGUGAACCUGCGGAAGGAUCAUUAAAGAGAUAAUGACCUCACGGGUAGACCUCCCACCCUUUGUUUACAAUACCUUUGUUGCUUUGGCGGGCCCGUUUGGCCCCGCGCUGAACAACCGGCCCCGGCUGGUCAGUUCCCUCCAGAGAACCGAAAACUCUGAAUUAAAUGUCGUCUGAGUACUAUGUAAUAGUUAAAACUUUCAACAACGGAUCUCUUGGUUCUG